AACUACUAUGUGCUGGGUACCAUUCUAAGGACUUUAUGUGUGUUAAGUCAUUUGUUCCUUCCCAUUUUACAGAUGCAGAUACCGAGGCACUGAGACUGCCAGCAGCGUGCAAUGGUGGGAAUGUCCCCAAGGCAGAAGUGAAUCAAGAUUCUUGAAUGAUGAGAGCUCCAUUGAAAGAAAAAAGAUGCACUAAGUGAGGAAACCAACAUUGAACACCUACUCUACCAGGAACAUCAGAACAGGAAGGUACAUCCUUAACAGCAGUAAUUCAGGACUUAGCAAGCUCUCUGUUUCACCAACCAACCCUUUAAGUCAACAACCUCCUACUCAUCCAUUGGCACAUGUUUUCCUGAGUGAUAAUUGCCACUCUUCCCACAGGCAAAGAAUACCCAAACCCUUACCACUACUCCAUCCCUGUGAAAACUGCAACUCAGCUUCACCAGGAAAAAUAAAAGUCGUCGUAUUAAAAUGAAACUGAUUACACACCCUUCCUGACUAUAAAAAAUAAGAAUAGCAUUUCAUCAUAUACAGAGGCAUUAUCAGGUGGUCAUAGCUAUGUCAAAGUAUAUGUCAUAUGUCAUAGCUAUGUCAAAGCAUAUGUCAUAUGUCAUAGCUAUGUCAAAGCAUGUGUCAUAGCAUAGUCAAAGCAAUGGUUUUUCCAGUCAUCAUGUGGAUGUGAGAGUUGGACCAUAAAGAAGGCUGAAUGCUGAAGAAUUGAUGCUUUUGAAUUGUGGUGCUGGAGAAGACUCUUGAGAGUCUCUUGGACUGCAAGGAGAUCAAACCAGUCAGUCCUAAAGGAAAGCAACCCUGAACACUCAUUGGAAGGACUGAUGCUGAAGCUGAAGCUCCAAUACUUUGGCCACCUGAUCUGGAGAGACUUGUUGGCAAAGACUCUGAUGCUGGGAAAGAUUGAGGGCAGAGGAUGAGAUGGUUAGAUAACAUCAUUGACUCAAUAGACAUGAGUUUGAGCAAACUCUGGGAGAUAGUGGAGAACAGAGAAACCUAGUGUGCUGCAGUCCAUGGGAUUGAAAAAGAGUUGAACACAGUUAGCAACUGAACAACACAACAAAUCAGGUAGUGAUUAAAAUUCUAGAUUCUAGAGGUAGAGCUGUGUAUGGAUUACUGCUUUAAACCAGUAACUGCUCAUGUGACUAAGUAGCUUGGCUUCUGUAUGCCUGCUUCACAGGGUGUUGUUAGACUUGUAUGAAUAAGACAAUGUAUUGCAGUGUUUUGAUGGUAGAUAGUAGUCAGUUGU
rnacentral:lncRNA from 1 species